ACCUGGCUCACACCGGUUUAAACUCAGAUCAUGUAAAAUUUUAAAGGUCGAACAGACCUAAUUUAUUAGCUUCUCCACCAAUAAUUUAUUUUAAUCCAACAUCGAGGUCGCAAUCUUUUUUUUCGAUAAGAACUCUAAAAAAAAUUACGCUGUUAUCCCUAAGGUAAUUUAAUCUUUUAAUCUAAACUUUAGGAUCAUAUACUCAUAAAUAAAUGGCUUCUUUUAAAAAAAGUUAUUCUAAUUUUUUAAUCACCCCAAUAAAAUAUUGUUUUGCUAAAAUAAUCUGGUAAACCUCCAUUUCAAUUAACUAAAAAUAUAAAACUCUAUAGGGUCUUCUCGUCUUCUAUAUAAAUUUAAGCUUUUUAACUUAAAAAUAAAAUUCUAAUUAACUUUUAUAGAGACAGAAACUUUCUCAUCAAACCUUUCAUUCUAGCUUCCAAUUAAAAAACUAAUGAUUAUGCUACCUUUGCACGGUCAACGUACCGCGGCCAUUCAAUUACUCAUUGGGCAGGUCAGACCUAAAAUUAUAUUCAAUAAGCC
rnacentral:rRNA from 1 species